AAACAUAGUCUGACUUUUGUCAGUAGAUGUUCAUAAUUCUAUUACCUUAUGUUAUGCAAAAUGUAUGAAAUCACUUUGAAGGUAGUCAUCUGUCAAAAUGACAUGAUGUAGACCUUGCAGUAAUAGUGGAUAGUCUGCAAAAUUUGCAGUAGAUGCCAGUAUUACCUUAUGAUAUCUUGAGGUAGUCACAUAUAAUAUUAAUAUUUGGAAGAUCACUUCGAAGGUAGUCAUCUUAUCAAAAUGACAAGAUGUAGACCUCACAGUACUGAUGGAUAAUCUGCAAAUUACGCAGUAGAUGCCAUCAAUACCUUGUGAUUCCAAAAUAUAAUAUGGUGUAGUCAUAUUAAGUAUAAUCCUUGUUUUGAAUUUACAUCAUGAUUUGCAAGAGAAAAAAAAUCAAUUGCAAAACAUAGUUGUUGCACUUAUUGUAAAGAAUAGCACUAGUAUAUUGGGGUCCAUUGCAGAUGUAAUGAUCGACCCAUCCAUCAACAUAGCUCAAUGCCUUGGGACUCAACCGAUAUGAUAUACCACGGUAUUAACCAAAAUCUAAAACAGUAAGCCUGAUGACUUAUGUUCAUGUAGUAUUAAGUCUGAUGACUUGUUUGCCAAUAAAAGAAACUAGAAGGGCUUAGUCUCAAAUGGCCGAAGAGAUAAGGUUUCCUAUCGUCAUCCUCAAUGCAUCUGGAAUCAAUCGAUUUGUUCGGUAUGCACAUAUAGCACCGGCACCGCCGCUGCGUACCAGUGUAACCGGGAGAAGGAGAGACCGGGGGUGGGCGGGUGGCGCCAGAGGGCUUGCUCGUCCAACGCCGCGCGCCAGAGGGCGCUGCCUGGCGUCGCUGCGUCCUCGGCCGCUAGCUGCGUCGACGUUGCUGUAGUGUCGUGGGCUGGUCGUGCUACCGGUGCCGCCGCGGUGGAGAUCGCCGUUCUAGGCGCCGGCCAUUGGUUACCCCGAGGACACGCCGCUUGUACUGGAGGGUAUGCCGCGCCGUGGUCGUGCUCCGCCUGAGGGAGGAGCGCCGCGUCGAAUGCUGCAUCCGAGAGGUGGAGGACGCCGUCGUCGCCAAACGCCGAGAAGCAUGUCCAUUGAUUACUGCUGUGGACGGGAAUAUGGCUAAUCGAAUCGGCGGCAUUCUUCUCUUCUCCUGUGGCCAUUUCUCAGCGGAGAGCAAAAGUGCUGAUAACGUGUUGGAGAGAAUCGAGAGAGAGGAGCGAAUGGAAAACAGAUAUAUGAAUGAACAGUUAUUCUAUUGAUUGAA